rnacentral:rRNA from 1 species
UACGUAGGCAGCGAGCGUUGUUCGGAAUACUGGGCGUAAAGCGUGACGCAGGCGGUGAUGUAAGACAGUUGUGAAAUCCCCGGGCUCAACCUGGGAACUGCAUCUGUGACUGCAUUGCUGGAGUGCGGCAGAGGGGGGAUGGAAUUCCGCGUGUAGCAGUGAAAUGCGUAGAUAUGCGGAGGAACACCGAUGGCGAAGGCAAUCCCCUGGGCCUGCACUGACGCUCAUGCACGAAAGCCGUGGGAGC